GGUAAGCACGUGAUAUAGGUUGCCUGUUUGGUUUGCCGGGCCAAAAAAAAAAACACAGACAAUUCUCUGACCAAACUCUAAGAAGUUUUGAUCUGGAAUUAAAUUGGAGGGAAAAUGCCUGUAGAGAUUAGCAUUCAGGCUGCAGGGCUGAACCAUCUUACCCAAACCUAGAGGGGAGUUUUAAGCUCCACCCCUAAAAUAAGAGCGAAUGGAACAGUCCACCCAAGAGCAACAAACCAGGAAAUGAGCAGGGGAGAGAAAAACUAAGUAAGACAUCACACACUCUUUAAGGUGGUACUCUCAUUCUGUGAAUUUGUGCUCUCCCACUGAAGAUUGCUUCUAUUACACUCAAAGCUCAGGAAUAAAAUGAUGGAGAGAUUGCCAGUGGAAGCAGAGGAAGCACCAACCAGCAAUAAGGAAAGACGUAACAUAAGCCAAAAUUCAUGGUGUAGCAGCAAAUCUGUAUAGAGAAGAGAUGCAUAUCAGUGGGCUGAAAUGUGACAACAAAAUGAAAGGUAGAUAUGUCUAUUUUCCAGAGGCAUAUUUCAUAUAAAGGUGUAUAAUGUGUCAUUUAUAACAGCUUUUUGUUCUCAGCUUCCCAGGUGCUUUAUAACUUAGCCAACAUAAAGCCACUGAAGCACACUUAUUGAUGGAAAGAAAUGUGGCAGCUACUUUGCUUCCACAUGUUGAUUCCUAUGACCUUUCAGGUGGUUAUCUGUCUGAAAUGUAGAUACUGGAGAGACCUCCCUAUCAGGAGACAGGCAGGGCUCAUCUGUGAUGUCUAAUUUCAUAUUUACUCCAUGCAGCAAUUACACAAAAGUGUCAAAGAGGAAAAAUCAUUGUCUCUUGUAACCUGAGUCUCUCUUUCUGACAGGAAGCUGCUAUGUUUAGCUAUUCUGGGUGGUAUCUUUUCAACAGAAGAUGUAUGGCACUCCUUUGAUAGAACAGGAAGUGUUUUGGAAAGACUGUAUAUUUUUGGUUUGCUGUAAGCUGAUCCAUAUGGUAUAGUAUAUUAUAAUAAUAUAUAAUACUAAUAUUGUUCUAUACUAAUGAUAUAAUAUUAUAAUGUAAUAAAAUAUAAUAAUAAUAUUGCAAUAUAAUAAUACUAAUAUAUGAAAUAUAAUACCAUUGACAAUAUAUAAUAACAUAAUUUUUUAUGUCUCAGGAGCAACUUGAGAAACUGCAAGUCACUUCUGGUGUGAGAGAAUUGACCAUCUGCAAAGACGUUGCCCAGGGAACGCCCGGAUGUUUGAUGUUUUACCAUCCUUGUGUGAGGCUUGGGGAGCUGGAGCUGACGGAGGGAGCUCACCCACUCUCCCCAGAUUCGAACUGCCAACCUGUUGGUCAGAAGUUCUGCCAGCACAGUAUUAUAAUGAUAACAUUGUUUUAUUAUUGUAUAUUUGUUUAUUUUAAAUUAUUAUGUUUUUAAUUGUGAACCUCUUUGAGACUCAGUAAAUAAAUAAAUAAAAACAA